UACGUAGGGUGCAAGCGUUGUCCGGAUUUAUUGGGUUUAAAGGGUGCGUAGGUGGCUGAUUAAGUCAUGGGUGAAAGCCCGAAGCUCAACUGUGGAAUUGCCUGUGAUACUGAUUAGCUUGAGUGCGGUUGAGGCAGCUGGAAUUGGUGGUGUAGCGGUGAAAUGCAUAGAUACCACCAGGAACACCGAUUGCGAAGGCAGGUUGCUAAGCCGUAACUGACCUUGAGGCACGAAAGCGUGGGGAGCAAACAGG
rnacentral:rRNA from 1 species